UAUUGAUUAAUUCUUUAGUGUCAUGUUGUUUUAAAACCAUCGAAAGAAAUCAAAUCACAAAGAAUUAAAGAUCAAAAAUGACUAAAAAUAGCAAUAAAGCGAAUGUUUGAAGUAGGGUUAGUACACAAGGCAGCUGCAAUCUUAAAAUGCUGUCGCUAUAUGAAGUUUAGUUCAGUACAUCGUGACAUCAUGUAUUAGUAACAUCGUGUAUCAGAGUGCAACAGUUGCUACGAUUUUAUAUCCCUAUAUCCUUUUUGUUCCGAAUAUUGAAGAAGGAUAAAAUGAUAUGUGGGGAUACUCAGGUAAAAUUUCCGAACGCAGCCUUCAUUGAAUGUUAUUCUACGCAUGCGUCAUUAGUACACAAGGCAGUUGCAGCCUAAAAAGCUGCCGCUGUGGGAACUGGGAAGAAGUUCAGUACAUCGUAACUAUCAAUCGUGACAUCAUGUAUUAGUAACAUCGUGUAAUUAUUAUAUCAUUUUGUUAUCUCUAUGUAAUAAUAAGCAAAAAAUAAUAACAAAAUGAUAAUUCUAACUUCGACUCUACUAACGUGCACAACGACGCGCAGCUGUACUGAUCUGAGCUAUUGAUUUCCGAGUUUCGUGAGGACCGCCAGGGCGUCAGUUCUGAGUCUGAACUCUCUCUUUCUGCUGUGUGUACAACCGUUACAAGAUGCUUUUUGAGAACCGAUUUUCAUCAGAGGUAAUCUUUUCUUUUUUAUAAUUAAACUUCUGUAAAAUAUUAAUGUUACUGUUACAGAAAAUAUUUUUAUAUGUAAUUUAUAUAAUAUUUCGUACGUAUAUGAGAUAAAUAUCGUAAUUUUUGUCUACAAGUUCGAUGGUUAGUGAAAGCCGCAUAGCAAAUGUAAGGCUUUAUGUAUAAGGCUUAUAUAAAAUGUUAAAAAGAUCUAAUAUUUUAUUUUAAGACGAAUUCAGACGUAAAUUGUAUAUCCGCGUAUCGUAUUCAUUUUUCGAGUUAAAUAUUCUUCUUGCAUUGAAUGUCUUAGCCCUACAAUCUGCGGCUGAACAGCUUUAAAAAACUAUAGAUAAAUGAGACACAAAAAGUCUGUAUCCGUUUUGCAAUAAAGUAUUAGUUCUUGUUAGCAUUGAUAAACGCCUUUAUUAUGCGACUUUUACUAACUUAACAUAUUGAACUUGUAGGCAGAAAUUACGAUACGUAUUUGAUAUACAUUGCAUAAUAAAUAUUAUAGAAAUUAUGUACUACAAAAAUAUUUUCUAUAUAAUUGAUGAUGUAUCGUUGAUGAUUUUAUCCUUGUUUAACAUUCAGUGGACAAGGAUAAAAUGAUACAUCACACGCAUCAUGCAUGAAACGGAACACAGUUACAAUCAGUAUAUGCAUGCACGGUGAAAUUAUUUAAGAAAUUUGAUCAAAGCAAUUAUAAUUAUUAAUGCUGGUAUUUUACAUAUUUCAAAUUUGAUAUAAUUGUCAUAGAUAACCAUAGAUCUCUCCGGAAACGAAAUAAUAUUAAAUAUAUAUGUACAUGUAAUGUGAUGAUCAUAGAUCUCUUGGGAAACAAAAAAAUAUUAAAUAUAUACAUGUAAUGUAAA